rnacentral:rRNA from 1 species
AUUGAACGCUGGCGGCGUGCCUAACACAUGCAAGUCGAGCGGUAACAGGUGUAGCAAUACAUGCUGACGAGCGGCGGACGGGUGAGUAACGCUUGGGAAUCUGCCUAUUAGUGGGGGACAACCCGGGGAAACUCGGGCUAAUACCGCAUACGCUCUACGGAGGAAAGCCGGGGACCGCAAGGCCUGGCGCUAAUAGAUGAGCCCAAGUCGGAUUAGCUAGUUGGUAGGGCAACGGCCUACCAAGGCGACAAUCCGUAGCUGGUCUGAGAGGACGACCAGCCACACCGGAACUGAGACACGGUCCGGACUCCUACGGGAGGCAGCAGUGGGGAAUAUUGGACAAUGGGGGCAACCCUGAUCCAGCGACGCCGCGUGGGUGAAGAAGGCCUGCGGGUUGUAAAGCCCUUUCGGUGGGGAAGAAAAGUCUCGACCUAAUACGUCGGGACCUUGACGUAACCCACUAAAGAAGCACCGGCUAACUCUGUGCCAGCAGCCGCCGUAAG